GAGCGGGCAUCGCAAGAUGUCAGCGGCAGACGGGAGAGUAACACGUGGGAACGUGCCCUUCAGUUCGGAACAACCCAGGGAAACUUGGGCUGAUACCGGAUACGUCCGAAGGGAGAAAGAUUUAUCGCUGAAGGAUCGGCCCGCGUCUGAUUAGCUAGUUGGUGGGGUAAUGGCCCACCAAGGCGACGAUCAGUAGCUGGUCUGAGAGGAUGAUCAGCCUCACUGGGACUGAGACACGGCCCAGACUCCUACGGGAGGCAGCAGUGGGGAAUAUUGGACAAUGGGCGCAAGCCUGAUCCAGCCAUGCCGCGUGGGUGAUGAAGGCCUUAGGGUUGUAAAGCCCUUUCGGCGGGGAAGAUAAUGACGGUAUCCGCAGAAGAAGCCUCGGCUAACUUCGUGCCAGCAGCCGCGGUAAU
rnacentral:rRNA from 1 species